ensembl:lncRNA
CUUAUAGGGUCAGUCCUCCUAUAGGCUUAGUCUCCCUAUAGGGUCACUCUCCCUAUGGGGUCAGGCUCCUUAUAGGGUCAGAGCUCUUAUAGGGUCAGGCCAAUUAAUAGGGUUUUUCCGCCCUAUAGUGGCUGCAGUCGGGGAUGUCCUUAUAGGGCCGAACUCCUUAUAGGGUUGAGCUUCUUAUAGGGUUGGUCUCCCUAUAGGCUGAGGCUCCUUAUAGGGUCAGAGCGCUUAUAGGGUCAGCCCAAUUAAUGG